AUACUUACCUGGCAGGUAAGUAUGAUCAGGCAGGUGGUUUUCCCAGGACAAGGCUCAUCCCUUGCACUGCGGGGUUGCUGACCCCUGCAAUUUCCCCAAAUGCUGGAAAGUCGACUGCAUAAUUUGUGGUAGUGGGGCCUG
rnacentral:snRNA from 1 species